UGGGGAAUUUUGGACAAUGGGCGAAAGCCUGAUCCAGCAAUGCCGCGUGUGUGAAGAAGGCCUUCGGGUUGUAAAGCACUUUUGUCCGGAAAGAAAUCCUUGGCUCUAAUACAGUCGGGGGAUGACGGUACCGGAAGAAUAAGCACCGGCUAACUACGUGCCAGCAGCCGCGGUAAUACGUAGGGUGCAAGCGUUAAUCGGAAUUACUGGGCGUAAAGCGUGCGCAGGCGGUUUGCUAAGACCGAUGUGAAAUCCCCGGGCUCAACCUGGGAACUGCAUUGGUGACUGGCAGGCUAGAGUAUGGCAGAGGGGGGUAGAAUUCCACGUGUAGCAGUGAAAUGCGUAGAGAUGUGGAGGAAUACCGAUGGCGAAGGCAGCCCCCUGGGCCAAUACUGACGCUCAUGCACGAAAGCGUGGGGGAGCAAACAGGAUUAGGAUACCCUGGUAGUCCACGCCCUAAACGAUGUCAACUAGUUGUUGGGGAUUCAUUCCUUAGUAACGUAGCUAACGCGUGAAGUUGACCGCCU
rnacentral:rRNA from 1 species